GAUGAACGCUAGCUACAGGCUUAACACAUGCAAGUCGAGGGGUAACGAGAGGAAAGCUUGCUUUCCUUGUUGACGACCGGCGCACGGGUGAGUAACGCGUAUCCAACCUGCCCCCAACUAGGGAAUAACCUUGCGAAAGUAAGACUAAUACCCUAUAAUUUCCUCAGAUGUCAUCUGACGAGGAAUAAAGAUUUAUCGGUUGUGGAUGGGGAUGCGUCUGAUUAGCUUGUUGGCGGGGUAACGGCCCACCAAGGCAACGAUCAGUAGGGGUUAUGAGAGGAAGGUCCCCCACAUUGGAACUGAGACACGGUCCAAACUCCUACGGGAGGCAGCAGUGAGGAAAAUUGGUCAAUGGGCGGAAGCCUGAACCAGCCAAGUAGCGUGCAGGAUGACGGCCCUAUGGGUUGUAAACUGCUUUUAUACAGGAAUAAAGUUAGCCACGUGUGGUUAUUUGUAGGUACUGUAUGAAUAAGGACCGGCUAAUUCCGUGCCAGCCGCCGCCGUAA
rnacentral:rRNA from 1 species